GACGAACGCUGGCGGCGUGCUUAACACAUGCAAGUCGAACGGAAAGGCCCUGCUUUUGUGGGGUGCUCGAGUGGCGAACGGGUGAGUGACACGUGAGUAACCUGCCCUUGACUUUGGGAUAACUUCAGGAAACUGGGGCUAAUACCGGAUAGGAGCUCCUGCUGCAUGGUGGGGGUUGGAAAGUUUCGGCGGUUGGGGAUGGACUCGCGGCUUAUCAGCUUGUUGGUGGGGUAGUGGCUUACCAAGGCUUUGACGGGUAGCCGGCCUGAGAGGGUGACCGGCCACAUUGGGACUGGGAUACGGCCCAGACUCCUACGGGAGGCAGCAGUGGGGAAUAUUGCACAAUGGGCGGAAGCCUGAUGCAGCAACGCCGCGUGCGGGAUGACGGCCUUCGGGUUGUAAACCGCUUUCGCCUGUGACGAAGCGUGAGUGACGGUAAUGGGUAAAGAAGCACCGGCUAACUACGUG
rnacentral:rRNA from 1 species